rnacentral:rRNA from 1 species
GAUGAACGCUGGCGGCGUGCCUAAUACAUGCAAGUCGAGCGAACGGACGAGAAGCUUGCUUCUCUGAUGUUAGCGGCGGACGGGUGAGUAACACGUGGAUAACCUACCUAUAAGACUGGGAUAACUUCGGGAAACCGGAGCUAAUACCGGAUGAUAUUUUGAACCGCAUGGUUCAAAAGUGAAAGACGGUCUUGCUGUCACUUAUAGAUGGAUCCGCGCUGCAUUAGCUAGUUGGUAAGGUAACGGCUUACCAAGGCAACGAUGCAUAGCCGACCUGAGAGGGUGAUCGGCCACACUGGAACUGAGACACGGUCCAGACUACUACGGGAGGCAGCAGUAGGGAAUCUUCCGCAAUGGGCGAAAGCCUGACGGAGCAACGCCGCGUGAGUGAUGAAGGUCUUCGGAUCGUAAAACUCUGUUAUUAGGGAAGAACAUAUGUGUAAGUAACUGUGAACAUCUUGACGGUACCUAAUCAGAAAGCCACGGCUAACUACGUG